UACAGAGGUGUCAAACGUUGUCCGGAAUUACUGGGCGUAAAGGGCGCGUAGGCGGCCUUAUAAGUCAGAUGUGAAAGCUCCGGGCUCAACCCGGGAAUUGCAUCUGAUACUGUAAGGCUUGAGUUCGGUAGAGGAGGGCGGAAUUCCAGGUGUAGCGGUGAAAUGCGUAGAUAUCUGGAGGAACACCCGUGGCGAAGGCGGCUCUCUGGUCCGAAACUGACGCUGAGGUGCGAAAGCUAGGGUAGCAAACAGGAUUAGAAACCCCUGUAGU
rnacentral:rRNA from 1 species